GAACUUUCCAGAGAUGGAUUGGUGCCUUCGGGAACUGUGAGACAGGUGCUGCAUGGCUGUCGUCAGCUCGUGUUGUGAAAUGUUGGGUUAAGUCCCGCAACGAGCGCAACCCUUAUCCUUUGUUGCCAGCGAUUAGGUCGGGAACUCAAAGGAGACUGCCAGUGAUAAACUGGAGGAAGGUGGGGAUGACGUCAAGUCAUCAUGGCCCUUACGACCAGGGCUACACACGUGCUACAAUGGCGCAUACAAAGAGAAGCGACCUCGCGAGAGCAAGCGGACCUCAUAAAGUGCGUCGUAGUCCGGAUUGGAGUCUGCAACUCGACUCCAUGAAGUCGGAAUCGCUAGUAAUCGUGGAUCAGAAUGCCACGGUGAAUACGUUCCCGGGCCUUGUACACACCGCCCGUCACACCAUGGGAGUGGGUUGCAAAAGAAGUAGGUAGCUUAACCUUCGGGAGGGCGCUUACCACUUUGUGAUUCAUGACUGGGGUGAAGUCGUAACAAGGUAACCGUAGGGGAACCUGCGGUUGGA
rnacentral:rRNA from 11 species